UACGAAGGUCCCAAGCGUUAUCCGGAUUUAUUGGGCGUAAAGAGCGUGUAGGCGGCCUGACAGGUCUGCUGUGAAAACUCGAGGCUCAACCUCGAGAUGUCGGCGGAAACCGUCUGGCUAGAGUCCGGAAGAGGAGAGUGGAAUUCCUGGUGUAGCGGUGAAAUGCGCAGAUAUCAGGAAGAACACCUAUGGCGAAGGCAGCUCUCUGGGACGGUACUGACGCUGAGACGCGAAAGCGUGGGGAGCGAACAGG
rnacentral:rRNA from 1 species